rnacentral:rRNA from 1 species
CCUACGGGGGGCAGCAGUGAGGAAUAUUGGUCAAUGGGCGGGAGGCUGAACCAGCCAAGUCGCGUGAGGGAAGACGGCCCUAUGGGUUGUAAACCUCUUUUAUAGGGGAGGAAUAAAUGCUACGUGUAGCAUGCUGCGUGUACCUUAUGAAUAAGCAUCGGCUAACUCCGUGCCAGCAGCCGCGGUAAUACGGAGGAUGCGAGCGUUAUCCGGAUUUAUUGGGUUUAAAGGGUGCGCAGGCGGAAGUUUAAGUUAGUGGUUAAACGUCGGGGCUUCACCUUUACUUGCCAUUGAUACUGUAAGACUUGAGUUCAGACGAGGUAUGCGGAAUAAGUUAAGUAGCGGUGAAAUGCUUAGAUAUAACUCAGAACUCCGAUAGCGAAGGCAGCUUGCCAG